rnacentral:rRNA from 1 species
UACGUAGGGUGCGAGCGUUGUCCGGAAUUAUUGGGCGUAAAGAGCUCGUAGGCGGUCUGUCGCGUCUGCUGUGAAAAAUCAGGGCUCAACCCUGGACCUGCAGUGGGUACGGGCAGACUAGAGUGCGGUAGGGGAGAUCGGAAUUCCUGGUGUAGCGGUGAAAUGCGCAGAUAUCAGGAGGAACACCGGUGGCGAAGGCGGAUCUCUGGGCCGUAACUGACGCUGGAGGAGCGAAAGCAUGGGGAGCGAACAGGAAUAGAA